rnacentral:lncRNA from 1 species
AGAUAAAAGGAAUAACAGUUAGAUUUUGCUGAAUUGAUAAAGGAGCAAACCGGUGAACUCGACGAUGCCUUGGGUAAGGUGUGUCUCGGUAAGAAGCACGGUCACUGCUACGAAGCCUCUUGGCUUGUGGUGGGCUUCUGCUUCUAUCCAGAGUCAUACUGGAAACCUGUAAGUAAACUUUCUCAAAUAUAUGACAAAAUGAAAGAUAAAACACAACACUAUCAGGCCCAAGAAUUGCCAACUCCGACCCACCAAAAGUAUCUGCUGCCUGCCUAUAUCACCACACAGCCCAAACCACAAACAUAAAUCUAAGUCAACAUCCAAGAACUCCAGCCCAAAUUACAUUGAACACACUCUUAAAUUCAAAAAUAAUAAUAAUA